rnacentral:rRNA from 1 species
AGAGUUUGAUCCUGGCUCAGGAUGAACGCUGGCGGCGUGCCUAACACAUGCAAGUCGAGCGAAGUUUAUGGAAUGAAGCCUUCGGGUGGAAUGAAAUAAACUUAGCGGCGGACGGGUGAGUAACGCGUGGGCAACCUACCUUGUACAGGGGGAUAACAGUCGGAAACGAUUGCUAAUACCGCAUAAUACUACUUUGAGGCAUCUUAGAGUAGUCAAAGAUUUAUUGGUACAAGAUGGGCCCGCGUCUGAUUAGCUAGUUGGUGGGGUAAUGGCCUACCAAGGCGACGAUCAGUAGCCGACCUGAGAGGGUGACCGGCCACACUGGAACUGAGACACGGUCCAGACUCCUACGGGAGGCAGCAGUGGGGAAUAUUGCACAAUGGGGGAAACCCUGAUGCAGCGACGCCGCGUGAGCGAUGAAGGCCUUCGGGUCGUAAAGCUCUGUUCCGAGGGAAGAUAAUGACGGUACCUUAGGAGGAAGCCCCGGCUAACUACGUGCCAGCAGCCGCGGUAAUACGUAGGGGGCAAGCGUUAUCCGGAAUCACUGGGCGUAAAGGGUGCGUAGGCGGCCAAACAAGUCAGGGGUGAAAGGCUACGGCUCAACCGUAGUAAGCCUUUGAAACUGUUUGGCUUGAGUGCAGGAGAGGAGAGUGGAAUUCCUAGUGUAGCGGUGAAAUGCGUAGAUAUUAGGAGGAACACCAGUGGCGAAGGCGACUCUCUGGACUGUAACUGACGCUGAGGCACGAAAGCGUGGGGAGCAAACAGGAUUAGAUACCCUGGNAGUCCACGCCGUAAACGAUGAGUGCUANGUGUUGGAGGGAGANCUUCAGUGCCGACGCUAACGCAUUAAGCACUCCGCCUGGGGNNUACGCUCGCAAGANUGAAACUCAAAGGAANUUGACGGGGACCCGCACAAGCAGCGGANCAUGUGGUUUAAUUCGAAGCAACGCNA